rnacentral:ribozyme from 13 species
AGAAAAGAAAGAAGAAAAGGAAAAGAAAAAGAAAGUGAAAAAAACAUCAAAAACAACACACCCCAAGCAGGUUUUCGUAUUGUUUCUUCAUCUUCACCUCCCCUCUCUUUCCCUCCCCUCCUCCUUC